AUUGAACGCUGGCGGCAGGCCUAACACAUGCAAGUCGAGCGGAUGAAGGGAGCUUGCUCCUGGAUUCCGCGGCGGACGGGUGAGUAAUGCCUAGGAAUCUGCCUGGUAGUGGGGGAUAACGUCCGGAAACGGGCGCUAAUACCGCAUACGUCCUGAGGGAGAAAGUGGGGGAUCUUCGGACCUCACGCUAUCAGAUGAGCCUAGGUCGGAUUAGCUAGUUGGUGGGGUAAAGGCCUACCAAGGCGACGAUCCGUAACUGGUCUGAGAGGAUGAUCAGUCACACUGGAACUGAGACACGGUCCAGACUCCUACGGGAGGCAGCAGUGGGGAAUAUUGGACAAAGGGCGAAAGCCUGAUCCAGCCAUGCCGCGUGUGUGAAGAAGGUCUUCGGAUUGUAAAGCACUUUAAGUUGGGAGGAAGGGCAGUAAGUUAAUACCUUGCUGUUUUGACGUUACCAACAGAAUAAGCACCGGCUAACUUCGUG
rnacentral:rRNA from 1 species